rnacentral:rRNA from 1 species
GAUGAACGCUAGCGGCAGGCCUAACACAUGCAAGUCGAGGGGCAGCACAGAAACAGCAAUGUUUUGGUGGCGACCGGCGGACGGGUGCGUAACGCGUAUGCAACCUACCUUUAACAGGGGGAUAACGGAGAGAAAUUUCCACUAAUACCCCAUAACAUCGAUCAAGGCAUCUUGAUUGGUUGAAAACUCCGGUGGUUAAAGAUGGGCAUGCGUUGUAUUAGGUAGUUGGUGAGGUAAUGGCUCACCAAGCCUACGAUACAUAGGGGGACUGAGAGGUUAGCCCCCCACACUGGUACUGAGACACGGACCAGACUCCUACGGGAGGCAGCAGUGAGGAAUAUUGGUCAAUGGGGGCAACCCUGAGCCAGCCAUGCCGCGUGCAGGAAGACGGCUCCAUGAGUUGUAAACUGCUUUUAAACAGGGAUAAAGCACAGUAUGUAUACUGUGUUGAAGGUACUGUAAGAAUAAGGAUCGGCUAACUCCGUGCCAGCAGCCGCCGUAA